rnacentral:rRNA from 1 species
UACGUAGGGGGCAAGCGUUGUCCGGAAUUAUUGGGCGUAAAGAGCUCGUAGGCGGUCUGUCGCGUCGGUCGUGAAAACUUGGGGCUUAACCCUGAGCUUGCGGUCGAUACGGGCAUGACUGGAGUUCGGCAGGGGAGACUGGAAUUCCUGGUGUAGCGGUGAAAUGCGCAGAUAUCAGGAGGAACACCGGUGGCGAAGGCGGGUCUCUGGGACGGUACUGACGCUGAGACGCGAAAGCGUGGGGAGCAAACAGG